rnacentral:rRNA from 1 species
UGCAGUCGAACGAUGAAGCCUUUCGGGGUGGAUUAGUGGCGAACGGGUGAGUAACACGUGGGCAAUCUGCCCUUCACUCUGGGACAAGCCCUGGAAACGGGGUCUAAUACCGGAUAACACUCUGUCCCGCAUGGGACGGGGUUAAAAGCUCCGGCGGUGAAGGAUGAGCCCGCGGCCUAUCAGCUUGUUGGUGGGGUAAUGGCCUACCAAGGCGACGACGGGUAGCCGGCCUGAGAGGGCGACCGGCCACACUGGGACUGAGACACGGCCCAGACUCCUACGGGAGGCAGCAGUGGGGAAUAUUGCACAAUGGGCGAAAGCCUGAUGCAGCGACGCCGCGUGAGGGAUGACGGCCUUCGGGUUGUAAACCUCUUUCAGCAGGGAAGAAGCGAAAGUGACGGUACCUGCAGAAGAAGCGCCGGCUAACUACGUGCCAGCAGCCGCGGUAAUACGUAGGGCGCAAGCGUUGUCCGGAAUUAUUGGGCGUAAAGAGCUCGUAGGCGGCUUGUCACGUCGGAUGUGAAAGCCCGGGGCUUAACCCCGGGUCUGCAUUCGAUACGGGCUAGCUAGAGUGUGGUAGGGGAGAUCGGAAUUCCUGGUGUAGCGGUGAAAUGCGCAGAUAUCAGGAGGAACACCGGUGGCGAAGGCGGAUCUCUGGGCCAUUACUGACGCUGAGGAGCGAAAGCGUGGGGAGCGAACAGGAUUAGAUACCCUGGUAGUCCACGCCGU